rnacentral:tRNA from 1 species
AGCCCUGAGGUGUUAUACACGUCAGAUUGCAAAUCUGGAGUGGCAGUGUAGCAGCUGCCGGGGCUU